rfam:Erinaceus europaeus unplaced genomic scaffold scaffold00123, whole genome shotgun sequence
GUCUACGGCCAUACCACCCUGAACACGCCCCGUCUCCUCUGAUCUAGGAAGCUGAGUAGGGUUGGGCCUGGUUACUGCUUGGAUAGGAGGAAGCACUCCUGGCGCCAGAUGCC